GACGAACGCUGGCGGCGUGCCUAAUACAUGCAAGUUGAGCGCUGAAGGCUGGUACUUGUACCAACUGGAUGAGCAGCGCACGGGUGAGUAACGCGUGGGGAAUCUGCCUUUGAGCGGGGGACAACAUUUGGAAACGAAUGCUAAUACCGCAUAAAAACUUUAAACACAAGUUUUAAGUUUGAAAGAUGCAAUUGCAUCACUCAAAGAUGAUCCCGCGUUGUAUUAGCUAGUUGGUGAGGUAAAGGCUCACCAAGGCGAGGAUACAUAGCCGACCUGAGAGGGUGAUCGGCCACGUUGGGACUGGGGACCGGCCCAACCUCCUACGGUAGGCAGCAGUAGUGAAUCGUCGGCGAUGGACGAAAGUCUGACCGAGCAACGCCGCGUGAGUGAAGAAGGUUUUCGGAUCGUAAAACUCUGUUGGUAGAGAAGAACGUUGGUGAGAGUGGAAAGCUCAUCAAGUGACGGUAACUACCCAGAAAGGGACGGCUAACUACGUG
rnacentral:rRNA from 1 species